CGACGAUCAGUAGCUGGUUUGAGAGAACGACCAGCCACACUGGGACUGAGACACGGCCCAGACUCCUACGGGAGGCAGCAGUGGGGAAUUUUGGACAAUGGGGGCAACCCUGAUCCAGCCAUGCCGCGUGCGGGAAGAAGGCCUUCGGGUUGUAAACCGCUUUUGUCAGGGAAGAAAUGGACUUUUCUAAUACAAGAGUUCGAUGACGGUACCUGAAGAAUAAGCACCGGCUAACUACGUGCCAGCAGCCGCGGUAAUACGUAGGGUGCAAGCGUUAAUCGGAAUUACUGGGCGUAAAGCGUGCGCAGGCGGUUUCGCAAGUCAGAUGUGAAAGCCCCGGGCUUAACCUGGGAAUUGCGUUUGAAACU
rnacentral:rRNA from 1 species